AGAGUUUGAUCCUGGCUCAAAACGAACGCUUGCGGCGUGGAUAAGACAUGCAAGUCGAACGAGAGAAUUGCUAGCUUGCUAAUAAUUCUCUAGUGGCGCACGGGUGAGUAACACGUGAGUAACCUGCCCCCAAGAGUGGGAUAGCCCCGGGAAACUGGGAUUAAUACCGCAUAAAAUCGCAAGAUUAAAGCAGCAAUGCGCUUGGGGAUGGGCUCGCGUCCUAUUAGUUAGUUGGUGAGGUAACGGCUCACCAAGGCGAUGACGGGUAGCCGGUCUGAGAGGAUGUCCGGCCACACUGGAACUGAGACACGGUCCAGACACCUACGGGUGGCAGCAGUCGAGAAUCAUUCACAAUGGGGGAAACCCUGAUGGUGCGACGCUGCGUGGGGGAAUGAAGGUCUUCGGAUUGUAAACCCCUGUCAUGUGGGAGCAAAUUAAAAAGAUAGUACCACAAGAGGAAGAGACGGCUAACUCUGUGCCAGCAGCCGCGGUAAUACAGAGGUCUCAAGCGUUGUUCGGAAUCACUGGGCGUAAAGCGUGCGUAGGCGGUUUCGUAAGUUGUGUGUGAAAGGCGGGGGCUCAACCCCCGGACUGCACAUGAUACUGCGAGACUAGAGUAAUGGAGGGGGAACCGGAAUUCUCGGUGUAGCAGUGAAAUGCGUAGAUAUCGAGAGGAACACUCGUGGCGAAGGCGGGUUCCUGGACAUUAACUGACGCUGAGGCACGAAGGCCAGGGGAGCGAAAGAGAUUAGAUACCCCUGUAGUCCUGGCAGUAAACGGUGCACACGUGGUGUGCGGGGAAUCGACCCCCUGCGUGCCGGAGCUAACGCGUUAA
rnacentral:rRNA from 1 species